GAUUCUAUUACACUUAUCAAAAUAAUUAUCCUUAAUCCAGCUGAAUGUGAUCGGUAUAUGGAAGGCGCAUGCGUUUUUAAGCAUUACGGAGCCGAUUUCUCUGAUGACUACAGUGAACAUAAACCAGCAGUGAAGCCUGUUUAACGAUCAUGGCGGGUACGGAUUAAAAAUCCCAACAUCAGUCACAGCGCUUCCGAAGCACUGCUCGCCGCGGCCAGGGAGCACACCGGCGUGCCGGGAUUCCGGUUUCCGAUCCGUUCCGAGCGGGAAAUCGAACGCCUGGAGGCGGCCGUUCGCAACGAAGCGUACAAAUGGGAAAACUAUACUGCCUUCCUGCGGGAUCUGAAGGUGAACGACCCGAACACGCCGAUACGGUGCAUUUUUCAGUCGGUCUUCUACGACGAGGCGCUAGUCAACUACAAUUACAACGGCAUAAGCAAUACCCCGGGGGUUAAGAAACGGGCCAUGAAGGGGUACGCCAUCUUUCGGGAUUGCUUCCUGGCGGCCUGGCUUCAGUUUGGAGUCACUGACGACAUGAUUCGAGGCAUGCUGACAGAGAUCAUCAAGAACAUUAACAGACGAAGGCGGAAUCGGCAGUACAAGAAUCGAAUUCAGAGGAAGAAGCUUCAAAACUCGUUUGCGCUUUAAUCGUUUUUCUCGAAUCAUCCUCAAACUGGGAUAUGCUUUUGCAGUACUAGAACGCAAUGUGAAUAUCAGUAUUAUCAUGACAACGGUGUAGGACGACAAAUCCAAAUCAUCGCCAUCAAUAAAACAUUCCAAUCAAUGUCACAUCAUACAAUAAAGCUUUCUUCCACAAA
rnacentral:lncRNA from 1 species